rnacentral:rRNA from 1 species
CUGGGGAGUACGGUCGCAAGAUUAAAACUCAAAGGAAUUGACGGGGACCCGCACAAGCGGUGGAUGAUGUGGAUUAAUUCGAUGCAACGCGAAAAACCUUACCUACCCUUGACAUGUCCGGAAUCCUGCAGAGAUGCGGGAGUGCUCGAAAGAGAACCGGAACACAGGUGCUGCAUGGCUGUCGUCAGCUCGUGUCGUGAGAUGUUGGGUUAAGUCCCGCAACGAGCGCAACCCUUAUCAUUAGUUGCUACGCAAGGGCACUCUAAUGAGACUGCCGGUGACAAACCGGAGGAAGGUGGGGAUGACGUCAAGUCCUCAUGGCCCUUAUGGGUAGGGCUUCACACGUCAUACAAUGGUCGGUACAGAGGGUUGCCAAGCCGCGAGGUGGAGCCAAUCCCAGAAAGCCGAUCGUAGUCCGGAUUGUUCUCUGCAACUCGAGAGCAUGAAGUCGGAAUCGCUAGUAAUCGCGGAUCAGCAUGUCGCGGUGAAUACGUUCCCGGGUCUUGUACACACCGCCCAUCACACCAUGGGAGUGGAAUCUGGCAGAAGUAGGUAGCCUAACCGCAAGGAGGGCGCUUACCACGCUGGGUUUCAUGACUGGGGUGAAGU